GCGCCCGGCGUGGCGCUUUCGGCGUGCGCAGCUGCGUUUCGGCGUUUUGGUUCCGUCUUCUGAGCCGAGGGUGAGGCGUGCUGUGCGCUUGGCCGGGAUGUUACCGGCUAUGGGUGCUGUGGAUGAGGAAGAGGAGCAGGCGGAGGAGGACUGUCCUGAAUUGGUCCCCAUUGAGACGAAGCUAAGAGAGGAGGAGGAAAAGUCUGGGCCCGGCGCCAAGAUCCCAGUCACAAUUAUCACCGGGUAUUUAGGUGCUGGGAAGACAACACUUCUGAACUAUAUUUUGACAGAGCAACAUAGUAAAAGAGUAGCAGUUAUUUUAAACGAAUUUGGGGAAGGAAGUGCAGUGGAGAAAUCCUUAGCUGUCAGCCAAGGUGGAGAGCUCUAUGAAGAAUGGCUGGAACUUAGAAACGGUUGCCUCUGCUGUUCAGUAAAGGACAAUGGCCUUAGAGCUAUUGAGAAUUUGAUGCAGAAGAAGGGGAAAUUUGAUUACAUACUAUUAGAGACCACUGGGUUAGCAGAUCCGGGUGCUGUAGCUUCUAUGUUUUGGGUUGAUGCUGAAUUAGGGGUUGAUAUUUAUCUUGAUGGUAUCAUAACUGUUGUGGAUUCAAAAUAUGGACUAAAACAUUUAGAAGAAGAAAAACCGGAUGGCCUUAUCAAUGAAGCUUCUAGGCAAGUUGCUUUGGCAGAUAUCAUCAUCAUUAAUAAAACAGACUUGGUUUCAGAAGAGGAUUUAAGCAAAUUAAGAACAGCCAUUAGAUCCAUAAAUGGACUGGGAAAAAUUUUAGAAACACAAAGAUCAAGAGUUCAUCUCGCUAAUGUAUUAGAUCUUCAUGCCUUUGACAGUCUUUCUGGAAUAAGUUUGCAGAAAAAACUUCAGCAUGUGCCAACAACACAGCCUCACCUUGAUCAGAGCAUUAUUACGGUGACAUUUGAAGUACAAGGAAAUGCAAAGGAAGAAAGUCUGAAUGUAUUUAUUCAGAAUCUUCUGUGGGAGCGGAACGUGCGAAACAAGGAUGACAACUACAUGGAGGUCAUACGGCUAAAGCUGAUUGAACCCUCUCAUCUGAGCAGGGGCUGGUGUCAAUCAAAGACAAACCAAAACAGGUGAUUGUCCAGGGUGUCCACGAGCUCUAUGAUCUGGAGGAGACUCCACUGAGCUGGAACAAUGACACCGAGAGAACAAAUCGAUUGGUUCUUAUUGGCAGGAAUUUAGAUAAGGAGAUCCUCAGACAACUAUUUAUAGCUACUGUGAUGGAAACAGAAAAGCGGUGGACAACACAUUUCAAAGAAGAUCAAGUUUGUCCAUAACACUAGAAGCAUUUCUUAUCAGAGGGACUGGGUGAUAAAUCGGGGUUAAGUGUCCUACUGGGUGUAUUUCAAGUGUCUAUUUUUUGCAUUACUUCUGUUGUGAAUUCUGGCGUACUUUAAAAUAGUGUUUAUUUUAUGGAACACAUAAAAUGUAGUAAAUAAGUGCUUAAAACAUUUGACAUUCAUACAAUAAAACAUAAUGUCCUCUAAAGUGUUUUUUGCUUUUUUGAGAGCGAGUGCAUGGGAGGUGUGCACGUGGAGGAGGGGCAGAGGGAGGAGAGAGAGAAUCCUAAGCAGGCUCCACGCUUGCCCAACCAGGGGCUCAGUCCCAGGACCCUGAGCUCAUGACCUGAGCCGAAAUCAAGAGUUGGACACUCAACCGGCUGAGCCACGCAGGUGUCCAGUUUUUUGUUUGUUUUUUUUUUAAUAGAUGUUUCACAAAAGUAUCUGUCAGAACUGGGUUUGAAAUGUACAUAUGCUGAACUUUUUAUCCAUGGAAGUUAUUUAUAAUCAUAAUGAUAAAACUUACUUUUACGUUCUUUUUUUCCCUUAGAACUACACUGAUUGCAUAGAUAUAAUUUUAUUGUUAUUAACAAAAAUUAUUUAAAAACAGUAUCACCUGGCGGGGAGCCUGCUUCUCCUUUUCCAGCUCCCCUGUAUUUGUGUUCCCUCUCUCACUAUCUCUCUCUGUCGAAUAAACAAAUAAAAGUAAAAACAGUAUCACCAUUUUUAUUAAAUGAAAUAAAAGUCUUGAUGUGGCUAGAGACUUAUGAGUGGAGGAAAUCUGAGUAAAAAAUUAAAGCCAUCUCCUAGUCAAUUCUAAGCUUUCCUGUAGAGUAAUGGAACUUCCAUUUACUUCAUAAUAUAUUUAGAUGAUUCCAGUUUUAGAGCUUUUAAUUUUAAGUAGAAUUUACUACUGGUAUUAAAUUCAUCAUGAUUUCUUUGAACUUCUUUAAUUUUCAAUAUAAGCAAAAAAGCAACAAGGUGCAAAACUUCAGACAUAAUUGCAGAUAACUUAGGAUAAUUUAACCAUCUUUAUAUCAGUGGUUGGUGUGUAAAUGUACAGUGGCUUACUUAUCUCCUAUUCUUACUAAAGGCCAGGUCAGCAUAACUGUAUUCAGAUUGUAAGAGAAAAGCAUUAGAUGGGAUUUAAAGAAGAGCUUUCCCAAACUAAUGAUUAUUAAAUAUCAGAAAGCUAUCACAAUGCCCUUUGGAAUUUUUUUUUUCCAGAAUUUUAAGUAAAAGAGUUAUCUCUGUGUAUCUUGAAUGGCUCCAGUGUUUGGAGGAAGGCCAAUUGAUUAGAUUAUCUGUCUCUUGGGGCGCCUGGGUGGCUCAGUUAAGUGUCUGCCUUGGAUUCAGGUCAUGAUCCCAGAGUCCUGGGAUUGAGCCCCAGGUCAGGUCCCU